UUAUUUCAGCGAUUUAUUUCUAUCAGUAUAAGCACCGCACAAAAAGUGGAUAUUGUUGUGUUCCCCCCAAUAUUUCUCGGUGACCCUCCAAUAUUUUUCGCAAAUUGAUGCCUAUGAUGGAAAUAAUGAAAAUAUUAAUAGAUUAAUUGCAAUAUUGGACACAAAAGAAUAGGAAUAAAUAUUCGAGGCAAAGCAGUGCACCUUUUAUAGUACGUAUAGAAUCAAUGACCGAAAAUAUAGGCAAUCUUCAUCCGGUGAGCCUAGGCAAAAGACUAUUUAACAAAGUGGAUAAUAUUUUAAAUAUCAGAAGAUUGAGUAAAAAUAUUAUUUGCAUUAAAUUUAAAGGAGGAUGCCCACGGAAUAGGGGGAUUUCUACCCUAGAGAUGGAACUUCUGAAACCGAUAAAUUCAUUUAGAAUAUGAUGAAAUCUAUCGCCCAAUAUCAAAUUCCAUUUUCUUAUCUGCAAGGAAAGUUGAAAAAAUCAUGUAGCGACGACGUGGUGACGAAAGAGGCAGAGAGCGAGCGAGACAGUGAGAGUGGAGAGGGAAAGCCGCUGGCGUGCCCAGGGGCGUUACUGUGUUGAUUGACUCAUUUAUAAUCAUAGGUGAUUUUCGUAGAUUUUUUCAUGUUGAAUUCGAAUCCGUAACCAAAAUUGCUCCAUCACAUCAGGUUUACGAGAUAUUUUAAUCUAAAAAUGUCUGAAAUAGACUUUUUUGGCACUUUUGGAUUAGAAUAUCUCAGAAACCUGACGUGAUGGAGCAAUUUUGGUUACAGAUUUGGUUUUAGCAUACCAAAAACCUUUGGGAUUAUAUACUGCCGUUUCUGGAUAAAAUGUUAAAAGAGAAUAAAGCAAAACAAUCGAGCAAAGACAAGAGCGAAAACAUGGAGUAUGUGGAACUGUCCGACGAUGAGUUGUUGCAUAAUGAGAAGUCCACGCUGCAUAAGAAAUCUAGCGUAAGGAACUAUGCAGAAAGAAAUCUACGCAGAAAAAAGCUGUAAUCGGAUUCUUAAAUGCAGAAAUUGAUCAUUUACGAGAGGAGACAACUGUCUCAAACUCAUCGCAAAAUCGGGACAGAAAUAUACAUGGGAUAGAUAUUGUAUCUUUUGAUCACAAAAAAUUAAGCCUGUGGAAACAACGAUGAACGAUUAGGAAAAGGCAAUUCGCUGAUUAAACAUGCGCUUGACAGACAUUCGUAAACACGUACAAAUAUUGGAGAUGGAGAGAGAAACACGAAACUCCGAAAUCAAUAAUUACAAAGUACAAAUAAAUAAUUUAAAUGAACAAUUCGCCUUAGCGCCGCAGAGAAGAAUCUGAAUAUCGACGAGACUUCGGUGCAGCAAUAUGCGGCAGGAAUUGAUAAAAUCAAACAGGACAUGCAGCAAGACUUAGAGAACAGACACAUCAAGGAAUUGUCCGCUUUUCAGAUGCAGUUAGAUCGACUACGAGAAAACUGUCGAGGCGUUAAAGCUAGGAUUGAUAAAUUAUACAGAGUCGCAGAAAGUUGAAUCAGAUGUCCACUAGUACGUGAAAGUAAAAUUCAACGAAAUAAAAUUUGAAGUACUAUCGGUAGAGGCAGAGUAUGUGCAGCGAAGAGGUGCUCACUGAGUUUAUAUUAUCUUCGAAAAGAAUAAUUUGAUAUUUUUUAAUCAAAGAACAGGGUAAUAAAAAAUUGUUAGGAUCAAAUCAAUUCCAAGUUACACGUCAUCGUUGUUCCUGUGAGUAAGCAAUUUGUAGCGAAUUGAUAAACUAAUUUCACGAAAGAAGAAUUUACUUAAUAAUUAAGGAGGUCCUCCAGUCAUAAAACACAUAUAUUAAUA